rnacentral:rRNA from 1 species
UACGGGGGGGGCAAGCGUUGUUCGGAAUUACUGGGCGUAAAGGGUGCGUAGGCGGCGGAGCAAGUCAGGUGUGAAAUCCCGGGGCUCAACCCCGGAACUGCACUUGAUACUGCUUUGCUAGAGUACUGGAGAGGAGAUUGGAAUUUACGGUGUAGCAGUGAAAUGCGUAGAUAUCGUAAGGAAGACCAGUGGCGAAGGCGAAUCUCUGGACAGUUACUGACGCUGAGGCACGAAGGCCAGGGGAGCAAACGGG